UUGUCCCUACGGGGCGCAGCAGUGGGGAAUAUUGCACAAUGGGCGAAAGCCUGAUGCAGCAACGCCGCGUGAGCGAUGAAGGCCUUCGGGUCGUAAAGCUCUGUCCUCAAGGAAGAUAAUGACGGUACUUGAGGAGGAAGCCCCGGCUAACUACGUGCCAGCAGCCACGGUAAUACGUAGGGGGCUAGCGUUAUCCGGAAUUACUGGGCGUAAAGGGUGCGUAGGUGGUUUCUUAAGUCAGAGGUGAAAGGCUACGGCCCA
rnacentral:rRNA from 1 species